rnacentral:snRNA from 1 species
AUACUUACCUGGCAGGGGGAGAUACCAUGAUCACGAAGGUGGUUUUCCCAGGGCGAGGCUUAUCCAUUGCACUCCGGAUGUGCUGACCCCUGCGAUUUCCCCAAAUGUGGGAAACUCGACUGCAUAAUUUGUGGUAGUGGGGGACUGCGUUCGCGCUUUCCCCUG